GCAGUGUCUCCAGGACAUCUUGGCUGGGGGCUGCCCCACGGAACCAGUGACCCUGACGCUAUUCCCCGAGACCUCCCUGCACCAGGCACACAACCUCUUUGAGCUGUUGAACCUUCAGUCCCUCUUCGUGACAUCGCGGGGCAGAGCUGUGGGCUGCGUGUCCUGGGUAGAGAUGAAGAAAGCAAUUUCUAACCUGACAAAUCCACCAGCCCCACAGUGAGCUGGCCCAGCAAGAUGAAGCAGGGCACCCCAGCUGCCCUGGUGCUGAGGUUGGGCUGAGACCCCGCCUCUCUUCCCCCAUCACCACCCAUCCCUCCCUCCAGCCCAACUCCAUUCCUUGGCAUAAGAGGCAGCUGUAACCCAGCCCAGAAGAGGAUGGCUCACUCUGGGAGAAACGAUGGCUCCUGAUUGAAAGCCAAGUCCCACCUUGGACAGAGCUCAGAGCGUGAGAUGCCAGAAGACCAGUAUCUGGCAGGUGCUCAGUGACUGACCAUCACAUUAAUGAAUGACAAGGUUGGGGUAUGCUGUCACCAAGGGCAGGCACAGAUGCUCUCUGGGGUUGUCUGAUUCCCAGUGAGAGGCUCCUGAGAAAAAUAAAGCUGGUUCCCAGA